rnacentral:pre_miRNA from 1 species
AUAUGAGUCACCUGAGGAUCUUGUUACACUGCAGACUCUGAUUCAGUAGGACUUGGAGGGGAAGGGGCCUGAGAGUCUGCAUUUCUGACAAGCUCCCAGGUGACAUGAGU